UGCCUAACCCUUGUGGUCUAAAACCCGAGGUAUGGCAAAUAUAAAUCCUACGCGAAUAGAACGGCUCCAUAACCGCCACUUAUUCGCGUAGGUCUAUGCUCCGAAAGGACAUAGGACGGUCUCGAAAGGGAUCGCC
rnacentral:sRNA from 1 species